rnacentral:rRNA from 1 species
GAAUUCGCCCUUAGAGUUUGAUCCUGGCUCAGGACGAACGCUGGCGGCGUGCCUAACACAUGCAAGUCGAACGGAGAUAGACGCUGAAAGGGAGACAGCUUGCUGUAAGAAUUUCUUGUUUAUCUUAGUGGCGGACGGGUGAGUAACGCGUGAGUAACCUGCCUUUCAGAGGGGGAUAACGUCUGGAAACGGACGCUAAUACCGCAUGAGACCACAGCUUCACAUGGAGCGGCGGUCAAAGGAGCAAUCCGCUGAAAGAUGGACUCGCGUCCGAUUAGAUAGUUGGUGAGGUAACGGCUCACCAAGUCGACGAUCGGUAGCCGGACUGAGAGGUUGAACGGCCACAUUGGGACUGAGACACGGCCCAGACUCCUACGGGAGGCAGCAGUGGGGAAUAUUGCACAAUGGGCGAAAGCCUGAUGCAGCAACGCCGCGUGAGGGAAGACGGUUUUCGGAUUGUAAACCUCUGUUUUCGGUGACGAAUAAAUGACGGUAACCGAGUAGGAAGCCACGGCUAACUACGUGCCAGCAGCCGCGGUAAUACGUAGGUGGCAAGCGUUAUCCGGAAUUACUGGGUGUAAAGGGAGCGCAGGCGGGAUAGCAAGUCAGUUGUGAAAACUAUGGGCUCAACCCAUAGAUUGCAGUUGAAACUGUUAUUCUUGAGUGGAGUAGAGGCAAGCGGAAUUCCGAGUGUAGCGGUGAAAUGCGUAGAUAUUCGGAGGAACACCAGUGGCGAAGGCGGCUUGCUGGGCUCUAACUGACGCUGAGGCUCGAAAGUGUGGGGAGCAAACAGGAUUAGAUACCCUGGUAGUCCACACUGUAAACGAUGAU